UACGGGGGGGGCAAGCGUUGUUCGGAAUUACUGGCGGCAAGGAGUCGUAGGUGGCCAACUAAGUCACACGUGAAAUCCCUCGGCUUAACCGGGGAACUGCGUGUGAUACUGGAUGGCUUGAGUUUGGGAGAGGGAUGCGGAAUUCCAGGUGUAGCGGUGAAAUGCGUAGAUAUCAGGAGGAACACCGGUGGCGAAGGCGGAUCUCUGGGCCUGUCCUGACGCUCAGGCGCGAAAGCGUAGGGGAGCAAACAGG
rnacentral:rRNA from 1 species